GGAAUAUUGGACAAUGGGCGAAAGCCUGAUCCAGCAACGCCGCGUGGAGGAUGAAGGCCCUCGGGUUGUAAACUCCUGUCAGGUGGGACGAAGGUGCUUCGGUCAAUAUCCGGAGUAUUUGACGGUACCACCAGAGGAAGCCCCGGCUAACUCCGUGCCAGCAGCCGCGGUAAAACGGAGGGGGCGAGCGUUAUUCGGAAUUAUUGGGCGUAAAGGGCGCGUAGGCGGCUAGAUAAGUCAGGGGUGAAAUCCCUCGGCUCAACCGAGGAACUGCCUCUGAAACUGUCCUGCUUGAGGCCGGGAGAGGGUAGUGGAAUUCCCAGUGUAGCGGUGAAAUGCGUAGAUAUUGGGAGGAACACCAGUGGCGAAGGCGGCUACCUGGACCGGUUCUGACGCUGAGGCGCGAAAGUGUGGGGAGCAAA
rnacentral:rRNA from 1 species